AAUUUUUCAUAGCUCUUUUAGAAUUUUUCUGGCUUUCUGAUUUUUGAUCAGAAAACCCAA
rnacentral:snRNA from 1 species